UACGAGAGGCCCAAACGUUAUUCGGAAUUACUGGGCUUAAAGAGUUCGUAGGCGGCGCGGAAAGUAGGGUGUGAAAGCCCUCGGCUCAACCGAGGAAUUGCGCUCUAAACUACCGUGCUUGAGGAAGCUAGAGGUGAGCGGAACUGAUGGUGGAGCGGUGAAAUGCGUUGAUAUCAUCAGGAACACCGGAGGCGAAGGCGGCUCACUGGGGCUUUUCUGACGCUGAGGAACGAAAGCCAGGGGAGCAAACGGG
rnacentral:rRNA from 1 species